AGCCCUGAGGUGUUUUAACAUAUUAGAUUGCAAAUCUAAAGAAGCAAGCUGGACGUUUGCCGGGGCUU
rnacentral:tRNA from 5 species